rnacentral:rRNA from 1 species
AUUGAACGCUGGCGGCAUGCCUUACACAUGCAAGUCGAACGGCAGCACGGGAGCAAUCCUGGUGGCGAGUGGCGAACGGGUGAGUAAAGUAUCGGAACGUGCCCAGUCGUGGGGGAUAACGUAGCGAAAGUUACGCUAAUACCGCAUACGAUCUAUGGAUGAAAGCGGGGGAUCGCAAGACCUCGCGCGAUUGGAGCGGCCGAUAUCAGAUUAGGUAGUUGGUGGGAUAAAGGCUAACCAAGCCGACGAUCUGUAGCUGGUCUGAGAGGACGACCAGCCACACUGGGACUGAGACACGGCCCAGACUCCUACGGGAGGCAGCAGUGGGGAAUUGUGGACAAUGGGCGAAAGCCUGAUCCAUCCAUGCCGCGUGCAGGAUGAAGGCCUUCGGGUUGUAAACUGCUUUUGUACGGAACGAAAAGGUUUGGGCUAAUAAGCUGAGCUCAUGACGGUACCGUAAGAAUAAGCACCGGCUAACUACGUGCCAGCCGCCGCAGUAA